CCACAGACCUGCCUCACCUCCACAUCAAUCGACUAACACCUUCCAACCGUACCACACCUCUGUAAACACAUCUUGCUGACCAUGAAGCUGACAAUCCUCAUAAUGCUGGUGGGUCUCGCCCUGGUAGCGGCUGACACCCCUGGCACCCCUAACAAGCGUUUCCUCUCUGGGGGCUUUAACUUGAACUUCCACAAACCAGGCAUUGGUUUUCCAUACCCUGGUGCAUACGGUGGUCACUAUGGAUAUCCCGGCGGAUAUCCCGGGGGAUUCGGCGGAUAUCCCGGGGGAUUCGGCGGACAUCCCGGGGGAUUCGGCGGACAUCCCGGGGGAUUCGGCGGGGGAUUCGGCGGAGGAUUCGGCGGGGGAUUCGGCGGAUAUCACGGAUAUCCCGGGGGAUAUGGGCACUUUGGUUAGAUCUUAAGCUCACAGACUUACUGACACCGAUCACCUACAACAACGUGUGAUUUCCAUUGAUCUCACAGCAACUUCCCUCUCGCCCUCUCCCCUGCCUCUUAGUCAUCAUAUUUAAUAUUCACUAUUCAACACACAGUCAUUGUUAUUACCAAGUUUGUUUUCAGAUCAUAGAAAAAAUAAAUUGCUAUUUAACCAUGUAUUAACACAAAGCAAUACUCCUUUUUCAUCGUAUUUGCCUUUAAACUAUGCAAAAAACAAAUUAGUUAACUACGGCCCACACAGAAGUACUCAAAUUCUUUUUAUAUUUACUAAAUUGGUCGCCAGUUCAUGCAUAAUUAAUCUACUAAACCUAUAUGUUUGGGGGGGCAUGUAUGUGUUCUUCCCUUGGGUGGUGAGGCAGAUCCGAUUAUGAGGUGAACAUCAGGUUGACAGACGCAAUCAUCACUUGAUCUCUCACUCCAACCAAUAUUGCCAUUCAUGUCUAGUCAAGACGUCUCAAACUCCCUCAUUAUGCAGCUGUGACUCCAAUGUUCAUCUAGUGUAAUAAUAUUUAUAAAUACAUCCUUACUCUUA